AUGCGUGGACGGACGGGGCGGCGGCGGCGCGGCCGGGGAUUGGCCGAGGCGGGCGGGGAGGGGGGGGCCGCAAGGUGCGGGUGAGCGGCGCGGCGCGUGCGCCCUAGGGCGGUUGCCCCGCGUGCGGGGGGCGCCUGCGUUCCCGCCCGCCCCUGAGGGGAGCCGUGCGUGGGGCCGGUAGGGCGGGGCUCACCGACCGUGGCUGCUCGGGAGGCUGAUGGCUGCUUCCCGCGUCGGGGGCAGGCCCUUCCUGUCAGCGGUCGCCGCGGGGCGAAGCAGGGACAGGGACGGGAGCCCGGGGCGGGGGUGCUGUCGCCACAGAGCGCUGCGAGAGCCGCUCCGCGGGAGGCUGAGAGGGCUGCUGGAGCGGCCUCGGCCGGGCCUACCGGCUCAGGGGGCUUCGGCCUGCCGAGCGGCGGCUCGGUUUGUGCCCGGCUCCCAGCCCUCGCGUUCCUUUAGCGUGGACCGAGAUGACUUAAGACUCUGCCUCACCGCACCCUGGAAAGCGCCGUGCAUUUGCACUGUCGUUGUAAAGGUUGCAAGGAAGUAAUUUAACUCUCAUCUUGGAAGUGGUGUGGUUGAGUGAGUAAAACUUGAACAACCACUCUGUCUAGGAUCUCCGAUGUGGGUGUGAGCGUUCCAGCUGCUUUCCUGCCUCGUAGGGAAGCCUAGGGAAUACCUGCUGGAAAACAAGCUUCGCAGUGGGUACCUUCAGGUACCGUAGUGACCUUUAGCUCUGGAAAAGAACAUAGGUGUUUUUAAAAAGUUCACCGUGGCUAAAAAAUGCAUUGUCAAAAGUUUUGAGGCAGGAUAUUUUGAAUAAACAGCCUCAGACUGUCAUAUGAGUCAUACGUAACUGCAUGAGACAUCAUUUGUGAUUAUUUCGUUGGUCAGCCAUCAAAAGGAGACAGAUGUUCCUAAUGCUGAGGUGUGAGCCCAAACAAGAAUUACCCAUCAAAUAAUCAUUGGUUUCUAUUAUAAAACGAUCCUCAAUACUUAUGCAGAGGACGUUUGGCUGAAGAAUGGCUUGGAGGCAUGGACUGGCAGAAGUAAUGUUUGUUUGUAAUGUAAGGAGUAUAUCCAGAAAGCCACGUUGCCAUGACGGAAGCAUGAGCUCAGCGGACAGAUUUCUACUGUGCUGUCUAUCACUGACCCGUGUGACUAACUUUUGGCAAGACACAGCGUGCUGAAUGCCUCUGCUCAGGUAUGGGUUCACCCGGAGGACUCUGAAAACCUCGCCCACAUUAGCAGUGUGCUCUGCACCAUGCCUGUCCACCUCUUGUGUCUGUCCUGUAGCUAUGAUGAGUCUUGCCAUGAUGCUGUUCCCUGUGCAUCUUGGUGCAUUUUAUAAAGAUUGGGGAAUUAAGCACUACUGCAUAUAGGGGAAGUGAUGCAGCAGUCACUAUUCGUGUGGAGAAAGGAAAGCUGAAGUGAGUUGUGGGUGAUGCAAGGGUUUGGAGCAGACUUCUAUUUCCAGUCACCCAGUGCUUUGUCUUACCCUUACUCCUUUGUACCUGCUUUCCUCCAUUCUGUGACAGGAAGGUGAUAGCACUGCAAACUGCUUGGACGUUUGCAGAGCACAAGCAGUAGAACUAUUAAUUUGGUAACUCUUAGGCAUAUGCCUGCUUAAGGAAAUUGAGAAGGUGCCCCUAGGUGCAGAGCAGCUUGCAGAGGAUUCUGGGGGAGUCCUUGCCACAGCAUGGGCCCUAGUUCUCCUUAGGAGCUUAACCUUCCUAUCAGCUUUGGGGCACUAAGAGUUGCUGUAAUUUCAGACCUUUACAGCCAGAAGGCAGAAGACUUAACACGCCCAUUUUUCCACCCGUAAUUGCCAUCUGAAAGCAGGCAGUGGUGGCAGCAGUGUUCUGUCGAAGUAUUACAUUUUACACAAUGCCAGCUUGAAAUAAUUUAAAAAAUAAUCUUUUAACUGUGGAAUCAAUGUAAUAACGCUUAUGCUAAAAUGUAAACAGUAGGAUGGUAGGCUCUGGAGUACCAGUUCCUAGCUGGUAUGGUAUGCUGCUACUUGAGUGGAAAUCUGAAAUGAAGCGUGGGCUAGCAUUGGGCUGGCACCCUCUGCUUCCUCUGAGGAUGCAGCAGGGUGUGUUCAAGCUGAGGUGCAGCAAAAGCCAUGCCUGGCUGAGGAGGAAGGUAAAGCAUGCAUAUGGUUUGAUGGUACAGCUAAUCCGACCUAGUGACUAGCUAUCGCCAAGGGGGCGGCCGUGUUUUACACCCCUGAUUAGUCUCUCUCUGCCUCCCAUCCCUGUGCUGCUACUGGUAUGUGUUUGGACCUGCAGUGGCCUGAUUCAGGGAGCUAAGUAGCAGGGUAGUUUCCCUGCGUUUCACAGGGCUAAUUUUCUGCUAGUUUUGCUUCCUGAACUGUCUCCUCUCUUGAGACAUCAGACAGGUGUUGGUGCCAACACAAGACAGUGUGAUGGGAACGCAUAGCAAGUGAGGGGGAACGGAAAUGUCCUUUUAUGCAGCAGCUGGCUGUUAGAUUGUGUUAUCUGUACUCCCUGCAUCCUGAGUCUUCGUAACAGCAAAUGUCACAAAUCUCUUUGUGGGUGUAUAGGUGUGAUAGAUACUGCAGUAGAAGAUAAUAAAAUCUGUUUUCUGGUUUUGGUUUUCUUAGGAAAACCACUGGGAAACAUGUUCACCCAUAUUUAAUUUAACAACUGCUAGACUAGAGGAUAAAGAUAAAUGAGUUUAUGAACCUUAGCACUGACAAAUAGUUGUGAAAGCCUUUAGUCUCUUGUUCUCAAUUUCCCAUCUCAUGUGGUGAAGACUGUCAAUGCUUAGAUGGCAUUCAGGCUGGCAAAGCAUGCCGGAGGAGCUGUGCAAGCUAUCAGUAAUCUGUGGAAAAGUAGAGAUUUCUUCACAAGAGCUUUAGUGCUUAAUAUGAGAGCACUUUGUUUUAGGAGGGCCAGAUGUGCUACAUUUGACUUCUGAUGAACUAUUCACAAAAAUAGUAUUUUCAGUGGGUUUUGGUCUUUGCUAGGGGUCAAGGGAAAACCUUCUGGAAAUUCACUAUUUACGCUUAGAUGCUUCCACCUUUUCCAGCCACUUCCCCAUGCUGGAAUACCUUGAUUUUGCAUUUUCCAUUCCAAUGAAUAAUCUGCUUGUAUUUUUGUGAAACUUGCUGCAUCAUUUGAACCUAACAAGGAAUGGCAUAUUAGAAACUUCAAAAAAUCCUUCCUUUCAUAUCACAGUAUGAUUGUAGAUUCAUAAUUUCACCAGGUUUAUCUCUGUCAGUGACAUUUAUAAAGAACAGUAUUACAGUGGGCUAGCCAGCAGUGUCUUCAUACCUGAGGCAUCACCAAAAAAUAGCAAAGAAAUCUGAUACCAGGUUGUAUAUUUUUAUGCUAUAGGAUUAAUUUGAUUAUUUAUAGAAGCUAUCUGAUUACAGUGCACAUGAGACAGAAAGAAAACCUGAAAACCUAUCAGGGGGUUUCUAUGAAGAAACAUACAAAUAAUUUGUAAAUUCUGUUUUCUUUCUCAAACCACAGUGAAACUGCUCUCGCUUAAGUGUCAAGAAUGAGGGGGAGGAUAUGUUUCACUAAUGUCAAAAAGUGACCACUCCUAGACAGCAUCCACUUAACAACCCAAGGGUCUCUGCCAUCUCAUCCCUUGUACCACUGUUUGUAUAUAUUUUCUCUCAUCAUCACUAUCCUUGAUGGAGUCUCAGCUUGGCAAGUUCUGCGUUGAUAUGUAAGAAGGUAGUAUUGCUGCUCUGAGGAGCCAGCAUUCUGUGAGGAAAAAAAAAAAAAAGGAAUCUGCCAUCAUCUGCCUUUCUUUUUUGGUUGUUGUUGGGUAAUCUCUUAAUCCAGUACUUUUUUGUCAAAAUCUUGAAGGUGGUACCUGCCAAACGGCCUUUUUGCAGAGAUUAAAUGAGGAAUUGUUUGUCAAUAACUGUAUCAGGAAGGAUUUUCCACGUGUGUGGGAAUGUGCAAGGAAGGGCAUGGCAAUACAUGUGUGCUGAUUCUUGUUACUCUCUGGUGGAUCAUGUAUGGUGGAUUUGGAGUGCAUUUGAUUUUAUCAGUCAUUAAAAACUUAAGUACCUUUGUUAGCUAAUAUUUCAAUUAAAGAUCAAAAUAUCUACA